AUUCUCCUGCCUCAGCCUCCCGAGUAGCUGGGACUACAGGCGCCCGCCACCACGCCCGGCUAAUUUUUUGUAUUUUUAGUGGAGACAGGGGUUUCACCGUGUUAGCCAGGAUGGUCUCGAUCUCCUGACCUUGUAAUACGCCCGCCUCGGCCCCCCAAAAUGCUGGGAUUACAGGCGUGAGCCACCGCGCCCAGCCGGUUUCACAGCAGGUAGCAUCUAAAGGAACUGGUUUAAAUCCUAAUGCCAAAGUAUGGCAAGAAAUUGCUCCUGGAAAUACUGAUGCCACCCCAGUAACUCAUGGAACUGAAAGCUCUUGGCAUGAAAUAGCAGCUACAUCAGGUGCUCAUCCUGAGGGUAAUGCAGAGCUCUCAGAAGAUAUAUGUAAAGAAUAUGAAGUAAUGUAUUCUUCAUCUUGUGAAACCACAAGAAAUACUACAGGCAUUGAAGAAUCAACUGAUGGGAUGAUUUUAGGACCAGAAGAUCUGAGUUACCAAAUAUAUGAUGUUUCCGGAGAAAGCAAUUCAGCAGUUUCUACAGAAGACCUAAAAGAAUGUCUGAAGAAACAAU
rnacentral:lncRNA from 1 species